rnacentral:rRNA from 1 species
AUUGAACGCUGGCGGCAUGCCUUACACAUGCAAGUCGAACGGUAACAGGUCUUCGGAUGCUGACGAGUGGCGAACGGGUGAGUAAUACAUCGGAACGUGCCUAGUAGUGGGGGAUAACUACUCGAAAGAGUGGCUAAUACCGCAUGAGAUCUACGGAUGAAAGCAGGGGAUCGCAAGACCUUGUGCUACUAGAGCGGCCGAUGGCAGAUUAGGUAGUUGGUGGGAUAAAAGCUUACCAAGCCGACGAUCUGUAGCUGGUCUGAGAGGACGAUCAGCCACACGUGGACUGAGACACGGCCCAGACUCCUACGGGAGGCAGCAGUGGGGAAUUUUGGACAAUGGGCGCAAGCCUGAUCCAGCAAUGCCGCGUGCAGGAUGAAGGCCUUCGGGUUGUAAACUGCUUUUGUACGGAACGAAAAGCCCCGGGUUAAUACCCUGGGGUCAUGACGGUACCGUAAGAAUAAGCACCGGCUAACUACGUGCCAGCCGCCGCAGUAA